CCUACGGGAGGCUGCAGUAGGGAAUCUUCCGCAAUCGACGAAACCCUGAUCGAGCGACGCCGCGUGGAGGAUGAAGGUCUUCGGAUUGUAAACUCCUGUCAUUGGGGAACAAGGUGCAUACGUUAACUGCGUGUGUAUUGAUAGUACCCGAAGAGGAAGGGACGGCUAACUCUGUGCCAGCAGCCGCGGUAAUACAGAGGUCCCAAGCGUUGUUCGGAUUCAUUGGGCGUAAAGGGUGCGUAGGCGGCGCGGUAAGUCGGGUGUGAAAUCUCGGAGCUUAACUCCGAAACUGCAUUCGAUACUGCCGUGCUUGAGGACUGGAGAGGAGACUGGAAUUUACGGUGUAGCGGUGAAAUGCGUAGAUAUCGUAAGGAAGACCAGUGGCGAAGGCGGGUCUCUGGACAGUUCCUGACGCUGAGGCACGAAGGCCAGGGGAGCAA
rnacentral:rRNA from 1 species